rnacentral:rRNA from 1 species
UACGGAGGGUGCAAGCGUUAUCCGGAAUCACUGGGUUUAAAGGGUGCGUAGGCGGCUAAAUAAGUCAGUGGUGAAAGGCCGUGGCUUAACCAUGGGAUUGCCAUUGAUACUGUAUAGCUUGAAUGAGGAUGAGGUUGGCGGAAUGUGGCAUGUAGCGGUGAAAUGCUUAGAUAUGCCAUGGAACAUCGAUUGCGAAGGCAGCUGACUGGACCUGAAUUGACGCUGAGGCACGAAAGCGUGGGUAGCGAACAGGAUUAGAUACCCUGGUAGUCCACGCCCUAAACGAUGCUUACUCGUUGUUUGAUCGCAAGAUUGAGUGACUAAGGGAAACCGAUAAGUAAGCCACCUGGGGAGUACGACCGCAAGGUUGAA